rnacentral:rRNA from 1 species
GAUGAACGCUGGCGGCGUGCCUAAUACAUGCAAGUCGAGCGAACAGACGAGGAGCUUGCUCCUCUGACGUUAGCGGCGGACGGGUGAGUAACACGUGGAUAACCUACCUAUAAGACUGGGAUAACUUCGGGAAACCGGAGCUAAUACCGGAUAAUAUAUUGAACCGCAUGGUUCAAUAGUGAAAGACGGUUUUGCUGUCACUUAUAGAUGGAUCCGCGCCGCAUUAGCUAGUUGGUAAGGUAACGGCUUACCAAGGCAACGAUGCGUAGCCGACCUGAGAGGGUGAUCGGCCACACUGGAACUGAGACACGGUCCAGACUCCUACGGGAGGCAGCAGUAGGGAAUCUUCCGCAAUGGGCGAAAGCCUGACGGAGCAACGCCGCGUGAGUGAUGAAGGUCUUCGGAUCGUAAAACUCUGUUAUUAGGGAAGAACAAAUGUGUAGGUAACUGUGCACGUCUUGACGGUACCUAAUCAGAAAGCCACGGCUAACUACGUG